rnacentral:tRNA from 1 species
UGGAGAAUAAGAGAUUCGAACUCUUUUCUGUGACGUGCAAAGCCACUGUUUUACCGAUUAAACUAAUCCCCC